rnacentral:lncRNA from 1 species
UCUAAUGUUGACAUGUGCAUAAUUCAUUCAACCAAUCCCUUCUCUAGUUUCCACUGAUAGACGUGUUCUUGCAGUGCCAAAGGCCUGGCGUCAGUGAGCAGGAGGAGGGUGGUGGAGAAACAAAAUGAGAAGACGAGGCUUCCGUUCCAGCAGCUCCACCCAGAGUCGCCCAUGCUGCCCACCGGAGUCUCUUCAUCUAUGAACAGGUAGAUCUCUCUGCCCUAUUUUAUCCAAGAUUUAUGAACGAAUCGCGAUAAUAGAGUUUCAAUACUAUAUCUGCACAUGUUUUGUUAAGUUGGAUGAGUAACAUGCAUGUCAUAUCAUAGAGAUCUUUUUAAUUUUUGUUACUCUUUCCAUUCAGAAUUUUAAUGACAAACUUCCCAAAGUGUUCAUCCCAGUCCAGGUGGGCUCCCAUGACAAGAUGCCAUGGACUAGGCAGCAUCAACUCCUGGAUUUAUUUUUCUUAGUUCCUGAGGUCAGAAAUCCAAGAUCCAGGGGUGGUGAGGUAGGUUUCAUCUAGAGGCCGCAUCCCUCUGUGCUCACGGGACCUCUUCUUUGUGCAGGCAGAGACGACGGAGAGCUCUCUUACAAGGGCAGUAAUCCCAUCACAGGGCCCCACCCUCAUGACCUUGUCUAACCCUAACCCUCCCAAGGCCCCCCCUCCAAACACCUUCACAUGGGGAGUUAGGGCGUCAACAUACAAAUUUGGGGCGGUGGGUGCAGGUGCACAUAUUCCAUCCAUACAAACUUGCCCAUUUAAGGACGUAUUUUCCUUGUAGAUCUUCACUGGAAAGAGGAAACUUUUUAGUAGUAAGAGGAUAAAAAUCUCUGUCAUCCCAAUUGACCCAAGGUCUUCAAAAGAACGACUCUAUUAAAGCAGGAACUCAACAUCUCCGUUUUAAUUUUCCAUAGUUCCUUACUCACACCAUCCAGCUUUAAACCCAUGUGACUCCACAAGGGUGUUCAUUCUCUUUUUUAAUUAGUUAUGUCUCCCUUAGGACAACGAAGACAUUGGUAUUAACACUUUCCAAAUGCCAUUUAUUAUCAUUCCAGAAGGACACUAUUUGCAGAACCACCCUAUAACCAGGCCAGAAUAACACAUCAUUAAUGGCUUCAGGAAAAGAAAAUGUAUCAAUUAAAGCACAAUUCUUUUAUAAAAAGAAAAUAAUUAGCCAAAAGCCCACAUGUUGGCAGAUACUGUUAUUUCACAGCAGAUUUAAUGUGGUGGCAACACAACUGAUUUUGGAAGUGAAAAUAAUCGAGGCUGCAGACACACGUGGCACUGAAAAUAGGAUUUUCUCCCGUUGGAGGGUUGAGAUGCACUGUUAACUAAAACACUGAUUUCUAUACCCAGCAACCCUGAGGCAAUCUUAACAGAGAGGAUCAGAGAAUGCUCUGUCUCCAUGGCAGCCCAGCAUCUGUGGGGCUCUGCUGUUGGUGUUAGAUGUUGUGUUGCUCGCUGAGAGGUUGCCAAGCUGUAACUGCACAACCAUGACAUAAAGCGAUUGACCUAGUACCCGUAGCUUUGAAGCUGGACAUCUAAAAUGCAGCAGCAUAGACUAAUUAAGUAUAGACUACACUGCUCCCAAAAUAGUAAGACAAUCAAUGCAGGAGAAGCAGGUCCUUCAGUUCAUGCUGUGGAGCUCGGGCUCUGAGCUGGGCACUGUGCUGGGUGCAGAGUUGGACUUGAUGUGAAGGAGAGUGGUGCACAACUGACGAUGAUGCAACUGAGAAGGCUCGGUGGAGGCUUCAUGGAAGAAACAAACGACCUGGACUUCGAAGAACAGAGAGAACUCGCCACAAAGGGAAAGUGCAGGAGAGGUACGUGAACAGCUCUAUUGAAUCGGGGUGCAGGGUGGUCAAAGGGAAGGGAGGGGUCAUCAGUUCCAAGGCAGCUAAAGCCCUGAGAAGGAUGUUGAAGGCCAGGUCGAUUCAUGGGAAGCCGGUGCUGCUUUUGAGAAGGGGACGAUACCCUCGUAAGUAGGAGAAAUACACUUUGUCUAUCGCAUCAGAUACACUCGAGACUCAGGUCGCAGGCAGGACAUUUAAGAGGUCUUUGGAAAAGUCUGGUCAGGGCUGACAGGAGCGGAGUAACGGCAUCUUCAGAGGGAACGCUGAGGAAGGCGGGCCUUGCAGGGCUUGUCGGGCCGGACUGGAGCCCUGCACGUGAAGGAGCGGGGGCAGAUGAAGGACGCUGCAGGGCCGGAGACGAGGCAGGGGCGGACAAGGACGGACACACCCGCGGCUCCCGCAGCAGCACGGUUUCUCGGCCGAGAGGCUGCGACACGGCAGGAGGGCCCUGGAGUCAGGCCCCCCGCCCCGCAGGCCCUUCCCAGCCGGCUGAGGCCCCCUUCGUGGGCGCGGAGCCCUCCUCGGGAAGAGGCUUUGACGACGCCCGUCGGCCGUCUCCGGGUUAGAAUCGUGGAACGGAAGGCAGAAGUCUGUGAAAGGCACUUGGCGCUUCAGGGCAAGAGCGUCACACAGGCGGGCACGCGCCAGGCCCCGCGCUGUGAUCCGCUGACGAGGGGGCGCGCACGAAGGCUCGGGGCCCAGCCACACGCACACCAGGACGCGCAGGCGCUGGGUGCGCACGACGGUCCGCGCGAGGACCGGAGAGGCGACCCCGCGCGGCCCUCGCGGCGGGAAAGCGGUGAGACGCACGUGCCGCGUCGAACAGGGCGCCGUCCGCAGUGGAGGCUGGAGGCCGGGGCUGUUGCGAGCGUUUUCCCUGAACGCCAGGCAUGGAAAUGGUGGCACGCGAACAAUAAGUCAGGUCGGGCCGGCAGUGGGACUGUAGUUUCCUGAUUUCUACCCUCUUCCGUUUCUGGAGAGGUCACUGGUUUUUCUUUUUUCGAUCUUCAUCAGAAAAAGUGAGCCUGAAGCCCACCCUCAGGUCAGAGCGCGGGGCUGGGGAGGAAGAAAGAGGCGCGCGCGCUCCGGGCUUCAAAGCUGGGCCUCGAUGAAGGGAAACAACGCUUAUAUUGUAUCUCACACAAUUUCAGGACUUACUGGGUUGACAGAGAAAAGCAAUUUACAUUAUAUGAGGAAGAAUUGUCUGGAAAGGAGCCCUCUGUAACAAUGACUGACAUCUAUACACUCCUUUAGCAUUUGCAGACACUCCGACGUGACUUCUCUCGGACACACGGGCUUCCCACCCUCCUCAGAACAGCCCCCGAAGUGUAGGGGCCUAGGAACGGGGCUCCAUGGACGAGCCCAGAAGAUGAACAACACCCAGCGUCCCUUUCUGAAGUGUGUCCCAGACUUCAUCUCACCUGUGCCCCUCGUGCUUCACAGGAGGAACGCGGCCGGUUUUUAUUGCUGAAGGUAGAGAUGUUGGUCUCCGUUAAGGCACGUCUGCGCACAGAGGACAAACAGCCCUGCAGGGCGUUCUGACACCCUCUCCGUUUGUAGGGAAACCAGGAAGACCACUCCUGACCAUGUCCCUAGGCCCCACGGAGCUCACCCUGGAGACUCAGCUCUUUUCUACAGGCCCCUUGGAUUCCAUUCCCAACAAAUUUCUAGGAAACAAGAAGAAUUAAGGCAAAUCUUGGUGCAACAGAGAUCAUUUAAGAGCAUAAUUAAACUAGUGUGCUUUUUUCUUUCACUUUUCUGCACUGUAUACGUGGCCUUUCCCCUAGGCAGCCAGCAAUCGUCAUUUGCCACAAGGAAGAUGAGAAUUGUCAAAAUAAAAUGCAAACUAAAGGAAGAGGCAUUAUUCAGAUUCUGACAGAAUGAGAUAUUUGCAUCUCUGCUGAGACAAUAUUUUUAAAAGCUAUGAUUGUGAGAGGAUAAAUAAAUAUGUCCUGUGAACAAGCACAUGCGUGUAUGUAUGCACACACACAUGUAUAUAUGCAUACGUUCAUUUUCUCAAUCCUGUACUCUUCUCAACAUACUAAGAAGCCCAGCCUGGAAGAGUUUAUGCAAGGUGCUGGGUAGAAGGGACUGAGGCUGUGACAAAGGAGCUGCACUGCCUCUGGGGAGGAAAGGAGGGGAGGCCUCUGAGACCCAGAAGAAGACAGUUUUAAAUAAAGAAAAGGCAGAAGUUCAAAGCCAUUGUCUUUCUUUCCAACUCCCAGGUUGGACGCUUAAGUCAGGGACGACGGAGAGUCCAGAGGAUGUGGGGCACCCACCUGACUGAGCAGAGUGGGGUCUCCUCGCUGGCCUGGCCCCCCAGCCCAGCCAGAGGGGUCCGAGCAGGUUCCUAAGUGAGCACUCAGGAAUGUGGACACAGACUCCGCAGCAUCUGGAGAUUCUGGGGUUCCCACGGAGAUCGAGCAGAGGAGGUGGGAGAAUCAGAGAAGCCAGGUUUCAGGGCAGGAGACCUCACCAUGGAGGGACCCCAGCACCCACCCUGCCAGACCCAGGCCUCCUCAACCAGCCACAGACCCAUGCUGAGCACGGUCUCGCUCAGAGAAGUGGAAGGGGAACCCAAAGGAAACUCUUUGUUUCCAAAUGUGACCACUUUUGUAAACUGCUUUUGACGUCCAUCUGGAGGAAUCCACACAGCAACACAACACUGAAGGGAACAGCCAAGACUGGAGAUUGUUGACCAACCAAGGCAAGCACAUCAACCUUUUAGAAGAAAAACACUUUUAUUCUCUUUACUUCAAAGCUUACAGUGAAGCCGACGUCUCUGUCAGAAUCCAUAUCCCUGAGGAGAAAACUCUCCGUCAUAUUAGGCAGCUGCACCAUGGAGCACAGUAAUUUCCAAGGAGCAACUAGUGGUUAGUGACAGUUAACAGAAAAGAAUAUUACAUGGCACUCAGAAUUCUAGGCUCCGCAGGCAUGUGGUUCUGAUGGCAUACAAGACAAGGUUGGACAUUGAAGGGAGGAAGCGAGACCCCGCAUAUUUCCCAGAGGAAGGAAAAGCCUUGUUUCAGGUUGGCCAGUUUGAGGGCCACAACACAAAAGCUGCAGAGGGAGUGAACAGCCAGGCAAGGGCGAUGAGACUGAGCCCUGAGAAGGCAGCACGAGCGAAGGCAGGCCGGAGGGUGUGUGUGCAUGGGUGGGGUGUGCUGGACGCCAUCAGAGCUACAUGAGACGUGGAAUAACUAGGAUGUCGUGUGGCACGUCUUCCAGCCAAUGGUGACCUUCUAACAUCAUGUUCACCUACCAUCACCAAUCCAGACAUUAUGGAAAACUUCAAGCCAGAAGUUUCAGAUGAUGUAUCUUGUUGUUGCUGAUAAUUCUGGACUGGUUUGUAUCUGAAUCACCAUCUACGCCUCAUUAACUAGGUCUACCUGCAACAGCUCAAGGCGCAGCUGAGGAAGUGUCCUCGCAGAAGAGCCCACACGGUGGUCGUCUCUGCCAUGUUGUAUUGGCUGCAGUCGGGUCCAGUGGGAACGCUGUCGUCCGAUGGGUCAACACUGCUUUGGAUGACUCAAAGGUCGAUCACAAUACUGCUGUCAAGUGCACUUGUGAUUGUGGAGCAGUCAUUUAAAUGCCUGGUCUGCUCUGUAGUUGUUACAAAAGAAGACUAUUUCCCACUUUUGUCAGAAAUGCAAAAAUGAACAUCAGGUGAGCCACAUACUUGUUGUCUAGAUUAAAAAAAAGUAAUAGGCUUACUCAUUGUUAUUCAAUACAGGAAUAAAAAAAUACUAAAAAAGUAUUGACAGGACACUCAUCUGAGCACAGGCUUGCCAAAACCUCAGACGACAUCAGGUGCCUUUGUAGACAGCGUUUCCUGUCCUGCCGAGAAAUUUAUCUGAGAAGGUAGAGCCAGACACCCAAGUAACCUGCUUGGAGGUCUCAGGUCCCCGUCAGCAGCGAGCUGUUUGUGAUAGAGCUCAGGACCCUUCGCUCUUCUCUAUGAUUCCCAACUCCUCCUUCUGCAGCUUCCCCAUUUGUGUGAACAUCGCAUCUCCUCUCCAGUCAAGGGCACACCUCCCUCUGCCUCCAUCACCAGUUUUCCACUAAACACCUCUUGUCAUCACUGCCUUCAAGCUCCAAGCCACCAUCAUCUCUUGCGUCUGUUCCCUCACUGGCCUCCUAAAACAUGUGCCCACCCCCAUCUUGUCCUCUCCUCCAACCCUGUCUCCACCCUGAAGCCAGACAAUCUUUUUAAGCAUAAACUUGAAUGUGUCAUACCUCAGCUUAACCUCCAUCUAUGGCUUCCUAGCUGUUCUUUUGAUAAAGGCAGAAAUCCUGUGUAUGGAUUACUUUGAUUUCUCGGGGAAGUCAGAUGUGACAGGUGGCACUCAUUUGGGUGCAAUGUCAGUCACCUGAGUUUGUGCUACACUGUGGCAAUAGCAACAGUGCCAGUGACUCGGAACAACAAAGAUGUACUUGUAGUUUGUGCCACAUGCCCAUCACGGGCCGGCUGAAGCUCGGUUCCAUGCUCUCUGUACUCUGAAAGUACAGCCCGACAUGGGACAUCACGGGUUUCAAGGGAUGGGAAUAGGAAAGACGAUGGACCACAAACUGACUCUUGAAGAUCCUGUUCAGAGGUGAUUCAGGCCACAUCCAACAUCCACAGAGCAGGAGAUAGAGUCUUCCCACAGCUAGAAGCCUUGCACAAAGAACGGUGGGAGAGUCACCAUGACAUACCAUGACGCACCAUGAUAGAAUCCACCACACCUUCUAAAGAACCCCCCCAAAAAGAAAUUUCACAAUUAGGUAUGAUAUUUGUUCUAUAUUUCUGUUAGAUACUCUUUGAAAAACAUUAUUUUAGAACCUAUUCUAUUUCUGACUGAAAGUUUUUAUGAUGUAUGGGUCAUUGAAUUUUAUAAAUAUUGUUUCUGCAUCUAUUUGAGAUGAUUGUAAGAAUAUUCUCCUUUAAUCUGUUUAUUAAUGUAUGUACAUGCACUUUAUAAUGUAAUGUACACUGGUAAAAUCAGUCAAUCAAUCAAUCAAUCAAUCCUGGCUCUGUUUCAUCACCUAAAAAAUAAAAGACUGAACCUUCCAAUCCAAGAUGCUCCAAGAAGGAGGAGGAAUAAAGGCUGAAUGUACAAAAUAAUAACAUGAAAUCCAGACUGAUUAUUAGCGGGCGGUCUUGGCUUGGCGAUGAAAUGGGAGGCCAUGGGAUGCCCUACGUGGCAACAGAGUUUCUUGGUCAAGAGCUACAGGCUGCAGUUCUGCCCAAGCACCAGGUCAUGGUCGGCAUGAAGAUAGAAACUCCUGGGAAAACAGCAGAAAGUACCCAGAACAUGUUGGAUCUUCCAGAUAGGUCCCUGCGGGGUUGAGGGAAGACAGCUGGCACACACCUGUCGGCACCUGUCUGCCCCUGACUGCCUUCUCUGCACCCGUUGGCACCUGUCUGCCCUCUCUGCCCCUGUCUGUCCCUGUGCCCCUGUCUGCCCUCUCUGGGAUUAGCCCCUCACACUCGUAGGUGACAGAAUGGCAGUGAAUCACCUCGAGUCCCUUCCAACAUUAAGGCUGUAUUGAACAUGCAGAUAGUAAUAGGAAUAAAAGAGACUACAUGAGCACAUAAAUGUGCUUUAUUUGGGAAAAAUCUCAAACACAUUUUACAAUUUAGUGUCUGUUUAUUUUUAUCUUAGUAAUAUAUAAGCAUGGUCAAGAAAAAAGUCAAGUGCAG